CAAUAAGCGGAGGAAAAGAAACCAACAGGGAUUGCCUCAGUAACGGCGAGUGAAGCGGCAACAGCUCAAAUUUGAAAUCUGGUCCUUUCAGGGCCCGAGUUGUAAUUUGCAGAGGAUGCUUUGGGUGUGGCCGUGGCGUAAGUGCCCUGGAACGGGCUGUCGUAGAGGGUGAGAAUCCCGUCUUUCGUCACCGGUCCACGCCUGUGUAAAGCUCCUUCGACGAGUCGAGUUGUUUGGGAAUGCAGCUCUAAAUGGGUGGUAAAUUUCAUCUAAAGCUAAAUACUGGCUGGAGACCGAUAGCGCACAAGUAGAGUGAUCGAAAGGUUAAAAGCACCUUGAAAAGGGAGUUAAAUAGCACGUGAAAUUGUUGAAAGGGAAGCGCUUGCGACCAGACUCGGCCGCGGGGGUCCAACGGGCGCGCGUCGCCCGUGCGCGCCCCCGCAGUCGGGCCAGCAUCAGUUCUGGCGGCCGGUCAAAGGCCCUUGGAAGGUGUCGCCUCUCGGGGCGUCUUAUAGCCAAGGGUGCAAUGCGGUCUGCUGGGACUGAGGAACGCGCUUCGGCACGGAUGCUGGCGUAAUGGUCGUAAGCGGCCCGUCUUGAAACA
rnacentral:rRNA from 2 species